GACGAACGCUGGCGGCAUGCCUAACACAUGCAAGUCGAACGGAGAAAAGGAAGCUUGCUUCUUUUUCUUAGUGGCGGACGGGUGAGUAACGCGUGAGUAACCUGCCUUUCAGAGGGGGAUAACGUUCUGAAAAGAACGCUAAUACCGCAUGAGACUACGGAGCUGCAUGGCUCAGUGGUCAAAGGAGCAAUCCGCUGAAAGAUGGACUCGCGUCCGAUUAGAUAGUUGGCGGGGUAACGGCCCACCAAGUCGACGAUCGGUAGCCGGACUGAGAGGUUGAACGGCCACAUUGGGACUGAGACACGGCCCAGACUCCUACGGGAGGCAGCAGUGAGGGAUAUUCGGCAAUGGGGGAAACCCUGACCGAGCAAUGCCGCGUGAGGGAUGACGGUUUUCGGAUUGUAAACCUCUGUCCUCCGUGAAGAUAAUGACGGUAGCAGAGGAGGAAGCUCCGGCUAACUACGUG
rnacentral:rRNA from 1 species